rnacentral:lncRNA from 1 species
CUUGCGCCUGGCACUUGCCCCAGAGAGGUCAUAGGAAACAGACAUGUGACAAGAGAGGCUGCCACAGGCUUCACCCUGCUUAGCACACAUUUCCUGGUUAUCGCAUGAAAAACCUCUGCAGCAGAUGGAGUUGACAGCGAAGCCUGCACACUAAAGACUUUGGGUAGGUUUUACGAGUCAACCGAUCUGUGAACUCUAUUGAAACAGGAUUGUAGUGGUAGCAAGCUACCUUAUGAGUCAGACCCUUGAUCCAUCAAGCUCAGGAAUACCCCCACUGGCUCUCCAGGAACGGCUCUCCAGGGUUUCAGGCAAGGAAUCUUUCCCAGCCCUACCUGGAGAUGCUGGCAGAUUGAAUCUGGGAUCUUUUGCAUGCAAAGCAGAUGCUCUCCCAUUGAGCGACAGCAAAUUCUGGUUCAAUGCGUUAUUUGUAUGGCUGUGAUGAUGCUAUGAGUGUGCAUUCAUGAUCCUGCUGUGGCAUGUGUAACCAGUAUGGUAUCCUCCAGAUGUUUAGGGCUACAACUUCCAUCAGCCGCAGUCAGGGAUGAUGGGAGUUGUAGUCCAGCAACAUCUGGAGAGCACCAUAUCGACCACAACCCCCCCUGCACCAUCUGCCUCAGGCAGCUGAUUUGGGGAGCCAUGUAAGGGCAGAAAAUGGUUGUAUUAUUGUUGUUUUUUUACUGCUUACAGGAUUUUCUGCCUCUGGUGCCAGAUAUUUUGGCUGGACUUGGGUGCUAUACAGUGUGACUGGCUUGGACAGAGGGCUUUUGCUGCUCCUGCUCAGUCAGCAAAAUAUCUUGGGAUGGCACUAUAUGAUAUCAUUGCCAUAAGGCAGAGAUAGGGAGCCUGUGUCCCCCCCCCGAAGUUGCUGCACUACAACUCCCAUCAGCCCCAAAGUUUGGCCAUGCUGGCUGGGGGCUGAUUGGAAGUGGAGUCCAACAACAUUGGGGGGGCAUGGGCUCCCCACAGCUGCCAUAAGGGCAUUAACUGAAUCUAAUCUGGAAUCUAAAUUAAUUUUGUGCACAGUGCUUCAAAUCACAUGUGAUGCUAAGCCAAACCAUGGCUCAGUGAACAUGCGGACUCCUGGAUAAGAGAUCACAUUAACUUUGCUUUUUUUCUGAUCCUGCGCCUACUGCAUGGUCUGGCUUAUCUUGUUGUCUGAACCUGGGUUUGUCUCCUCUAGACAAACCACGAACAACCUUUGGUUGCUGUAGCUUGUGGCUUGUCUGGUGUGAGACAAACCAUGAGCCCAAGAUCAGAUGACAUGCUCACCAUGGCUUAGCUUGCAGCAACAACAGGACUAGAAGAACAUAGGAAUAUGCCUGGAACUGAAUCAGACCCUUGGGUCCAUCUAGCUCAGUAGUGUCUACAUGGAGAUGUGGGGGAUUGAACUGGGGACCUUCUGUAUGCAAAGCUGAAGCUCUACUACAGAGCUACAGCCCUUCCCCAAGGAGAAGCAAAGCAGAUACAAUCUCCUCUCCAUGAUCCUGCACACUCAUGAGUUUGCACCAAGCCAUGUUUUGGUUUAGCAUUACGUGCAAACCAGGUCAAUCCUCCCACCUCCACCCCAGAUUAUUUUUGGAGUGCACUUUGCACAGCCUGCCCAUCCCUCUCCUCUCCCUCUCAUCAACAACAUCCAGCAAGGAGCAUUGGGCAGGGUAACUGAUUUUCGAAAUACGGAGAGCCAGGGAGAAUUGCUCACCUUGGGAAAGUGGUUUCAGACGGUAGCAUCCCUGGGUGGAGUGUCAUGUGCACCCUCUCCCCAAGCAGCAUCAGAUUACUCAGCGAUAGGAAGCUUCUGUAGGCUGAGUGUUUUGAAUCACCCCAGUUAAAACUCCAUUGUCAUCUCCAACAAGGGAGAGCUUCAUUUGAAGCAAAUCGAAGAGAAUGUAAAACUGGGCAUGUAAAGAAAACAAAGACACAGAGAGCAGGCUAGCUAACACAAGUUACAAGGAGCUCUUAAUCCACUUCAGGUGGCUCCUUGUUCCCAUAGCCAGAGUGCAAACAGCAAGCACAUACCCCACCCAGCAUGGGCACGCUGGAAUCUCAAGUUUCUGCUUCCAGCAGCCAAGGCGGGGCAGUGAGGCGGCGGGGCACCUUCUUUUCUAAGAGAUGCUCUUAGAUGAAUCAAGUGUUUCUGGAAACCAAUUAACAUACACCAGUUAUAUAUUUCACAUGUAGAUAAAGAGUUGAGUCACCAUGUCUGGGGGAGAAGGUAGGAUGAGGGUUUGGGACUUUUUUGUUUGGAGAAACGGUGAGUAAGAGGUGGCACGGCAGGAGCUGGAAAAAUUAUGCAUGGUAUGGAGAAAGUGAAUAGAAGAAAGUUGUUCUCUCUCUCUCCUAACACUAGGAUUUGGGGACAUCCAAGGAAAUGGAAUGUUGGAAGAUCCAGGACAGAUAAAAGAAAGCAAUUAUUCACGCAGAUCAGAAGGUCGGCGGUUCGAAUCCCCGCAACGGGGUGAGCUCCCGUUGCUCGGUCCCUGCUCCUGCCAACCUAGCAGUUCGAAAGCACGUCAAAGUGCAAGUAGAUAAAUAGGUACCGCUCCAGCGGGAAGGUAAACGGUGUUUCCAUGCGCUGCUCUGGUUCGCCAGAAGCAGCUUAGUCAUGCUGGCC